rnacentral:rRNA from 1 species
GUGGGGAAUUUUGGACAAUGGGCGCAAGCCUGAUCCAGCAAUGCCGCGUGCAGGAAGAAGGCCUUCGGGUUGUAAACUGCUUUUGUACGGAACGAAACGGUCCUGGCUAAUAUCCGGGGCUAAUGACGGUACCGUAAGAAUAAGCACCGGCUAACUACGUGCCAGCAGCCGCGGUAAUACGUAGGGUGCGAGCGUUAAUCGGAAUUACUGGGCGUAAAGCGUGCGCAGGCGGUGCUGUAAGACAGGAGUGAAAUCCCCGGGCUUAACCUGGGAAUGGCGCUUGUGACUGCAGUGCUGGAGUGUGGCAGAGGGGGAUGGAAUUCCGCGUGUAGCAAUGAAAUGCGUAGAUAUGCGGAGGAACACCGAUGGCGAAGGCAAUCCCCUGGGCCUGCACUGACGCUCAUGUACGAAAGCGUGGGGAGCAAACAGGAUUAGAAACCCGGGUAGUCC